rnacentral:lncRNA from 1 species
GGAACGUGUUCCACUUAUAAAUUUUUUGAGGUUAUCCUCAUUGAUCCAUUCCAUAAAACUAUCAGAGGAAAUCUUGACACCCAGCAGAUCACCAAAUCUAUCCACAAGCAUGGGGAGAUGUGUGGGCUGACAUCCUCAGGCUGCAAGAGCCAUGGCCUUGGAAAGGGCCGUAAGUUCUACCACGCUAUUGGUGGUUCUCACCAUGCAACUUGGAGAAGGUGCAAUAUUCUCCAGCUCUAAUGUUAUCACAGAUAUAAG